GCCUAUGCCCAUACCACCCUGAACCUGCCCGAUCUCCUGUGAUCUUGGAAGCUAAGCAAGGUCAGUCCUGGUUAGUACUUAGAUGGGAGAAAAUGUCCUUUUCUGUCCUCUACCCUCGAUAAGUAGAUGGUUGGUA
ensembl:rRNA 5S_rRNA 5S ribosomal RNA